rnacentral:rRNA from 1 species
GGGAUACCGUAGCACCUACCUUUAGACGUGGAUAACAAUUGGAAACAGUUGCUAAGACAGGAUAGGAAAUUAAGAGGCAUCUUUUAAUUUUUAAAAGACCUUUUUCGNAAGGUAUGCUUAAAGAGGGGCUUGCGCCACAUUAGUUAGUUGGUAAGGUAAAGGCUUACCAAGACGAUGAUGUGUAGCUGGACUGAGAGGUUGAACAGCCACAUUGGGACUGAGACACGGCCCAAACUCCUACGGGAGGCAGCAGUAAGGAAUUUUUGGCAAUGGAGGAAACUCUGACCGAGCGACGCCGCGUGAACAAUGAAGUACUUCGGUAUGUAAAGUUCUUUUAUUGAAAAAGAAAAAAUAGUGGAAAAACUAUCUUGACAUUAUUCAAUGAAUAAGCCCCGGCUAAUUAUGUGCCAGCAGCCGCGGUAAUACAUAAGGGGCGAGCGUUAUCCGGAAUUAUUGGGCGUAAAGGGUGCGUAGGCGGUUUGAUAAGUCUAUAGUUUAAAUGCAGCGCUUAACGCUGUAGCGCUAUAGAAACUGUCUGACUAGAGUUAGAUAGAGGCAAGCGGAAUUCCAUGUGUAGCGGUAAAAUGCGUAAAUAUAUGGAGGAACACCAGAGGCGUAGGCGGCUUGCUGGGUCUUAACUGACGCUGAGGCACGAAAGCGUGGGGAGCAAACAGGAUUAGAUACCCUGGUAGUCCACGCCGUAAACGAUGAGUACUAAGUGUCGGGUUUCGGCUCGGUACUGAAGUUAACACAUUAAGUACUCCGCCUGAGUAGUACGUACGCAAGUAUGAAACUUAAAGGAAUUGACGGGACCCCGCACAAGCGGUGGAUCAUGUUGUUUAAUUCGAAGAUACACGAAAAACCUUACCAGGUCUUGACAUAAUUUUGCGACAUUAUAGAAAUAUAAUGAAGGUUAUCAGAAUUACAGGUGGUGCAUGGUUGUCGUCAGCUCGUGUCGUGAGAUGUUAGGUUAAGUCCUAAAACGAGCGCAACCCUUGUCGUUAGUUGCGACCACGUAAUGGUGAGCACUUUAGCGAGACUGCCAAUGAAAAAUUGGAGGAAGGUGAGGAUUACGUCAAAUCAUCAUGCCCCUUAUGAUCUGGGCUACAAACGUGAUACAAUGGCUGUUACAAAGAGUAGCUACAACGUGAGUUUUUAGCCAAUCUCAAAAAAACAGUCUCAGUUCGGAUUGAAGUCUGCAACUCGACUUCAUGAAGUUGGAAUCGCUAGUAAUCGCGAAUCAGCAUGUCGCGGUGAAUACGUUCUCGGGGUUUGUACACACCGCCCGUCAAACCACGAAAGUUGAUAAUACCCGAAAGCGGUCACCUAACUUCGUCAGAAGAGGGAGCCGUCUAAGGUAGGAUCGAUGAUUGGGGUUAAGUCGUAACAAGGUAUCCCUACCGGAAGGUGGGGAUGGAUCA